CUGGAACCAUCAUAACUGAAGCACUGGCCUCUUCUUUUCCCUGUGUGGUUAUUUAUGUGAUGGACACAUCUCGAAGUGUAAAUCCAGUCACCUUUAUGUCCAACAUGCUCUACGCCUGCAGCAUUCUCUACAAGACCAAGCUACCUUUCAUAGUCGUCAUGAACAAGACCGACAUCAUUGAUCACAGUUUUGCGGUGGAGUGGAUG